GUGGUGGCUCAGUGGUACAGUGCUUGCCUAGUAUGUGUGAGGCACUGGGUUCGAUUCUCAACACCACA
rnacentral:tRNA from 1 species